CUGGGGCCAUUCUAUGCAAGAAGUGAAAUGCAAUCUCUGCUAUGGAGAGUUUACAAUCUGGAAGGAUGACACAGGGCACAUGGAAAACAAAAAGGAGGAUGCUGCAUUGAAGAUGACAAAAGGAACAUGCAGGAUCUUCAGGAGAAUCCAUCCUUAACAUACAGGAUUCUGAAGACUAUCCACCUUCAAGAUCACCAUCAUUUUCUAUAGUUUCAGAGUCAUCUGCCAAUGACAGUGCUUUAGUCACAUGAUAUAUGUCACAUAGCCACAGCAUAUCACCUGUAGCAAAAAGAAAAAAAAAUUUCCAUCAUCCAGAAACAACCAUAGAUAAGUUUGUGAUAAGAACCAGCAGAUUACAAA